GUGUCAGCAGCCGCGGUAAUACAGAGGUCCCAAGCGUUGUUCGGAUUCACUGGGCGUAAAGGGUGCGUAGGUGGUGGGGAAAGUCUGAUGUGAAAGCUCCAAGCUCAACUUGGAAAUGGCAUUGGAAACUACUCUGCUCGAGGGUUGGAGGGGGGACUGGAAUACUUGGUGUAGCAGUGAAAUGCGUAGAUAUCAAGUGGAACACCAGUGGCGAAGGCGAGUCCCUGGACAACUCCUGACACUGAGGCACGAAAGCUAGGGGAGCAAACAGGAUUAGAUACCCUGGUAGUCC
rnacentral:rRNA from 1 species